AUAAAGUAGCUCAGAGACCCACAGGAUCCCAAGGUUUGAACCCUACUUAAAUAAUUUAGACCUAGCCUGGAUGUCCACUCGAAGUCUUGGGAGAGAACGUGUUUGGAUUGAUCCAGCCACCUGAGAAGGCAAUGAAAACACUGUGAGCACAGGCCUUGAUGUCUGGACCCUUCAACAGACCUUGGAACCCACUUCACCUUCCAGGCUGGAUGCUCUUGUUGCACAAGGAUUUCCUGAAGGUUUGGUGUCAUGGAAACAGCUUCUUCAUUUGGAAAGCUCUGCGGCAGUGUGAGAAGGAAAAGACUGGAGAGGGCGAGAGGAAGAGGGAGCGCAGGAGCGUGGCCGUGCAGCCUUCCCAACAUCAGUGGCUCCCUCCCUCCCUGCCUUCCCCGGAGACAAGGGAGCGAGCAGGAGGGCAGGGCUCCCGCGCUGCCUGCCUUACCUCGCUCUGCAAUAAGGCAAAUCAUUCCCCCUUUGCUGUUUGUCAUCGCCAAGACUGCAUGUGGCUUAUUUUGUAGUUAAUGCACAGUGUAGUUCUAAACACUUUUUAAGGGAAUUUUCUGUACUGAGGGGUUGUGUUUCUAUAUCUAUAUAUUAAUAUAUUUAUACAUACAUAUAUAUAUGUGAUGUAUUUUUGUAAAUGGACUUUAUCUAAA
rnacentral:lncRNA from 1 species